AUACGGAGGGUGCAAGCGUUAUUCGGAAUUACUGGGCGUAAAGCGCGUGUAGGCGGGAAAGCAAGUCUGAUGUGGAAGCCCUGGGCUUAACCUGGGAAGUGCAUUGGAAACUGUUUUCUUGAGUACUGGAGAGGAAGGGAGAAUUCCCGGUGUAGAGGUGAAAUUCGUAGAGAUCGGGAGGAAUAUCAGUGGCGAAGGCGCCCAUCUGGACGGUAACUGACGCUGAGACGCGAAAGCGUGGGGAGC
rnacentral:rRNA from 1 species